ensembl:lncRNA
CAAAGGAUUGACACAGCUGGAUCAGGAAGAGGACACUGGGUAAUCGCCAUCGCUGUCUGCCUGACAUGGCCUGGGGUAGAGGGACGUGGAGCAGGAGGAAAAUGUGUUUUUGUCUGUCUUCGGUCGUCCCCGGUGAGAAGCGGCGCUGAACUCUUCCCAUCCUGUGUUUUAAAGCAGCUUAAGUGCUCCUCCAUGCCGCUGAUUUCCUUGUAGGCCUUAAGAAGUGAUCACCUUCCUGCAAUGCCCUCAGGAUUAAACAGGCCAGGCCCGUCCUCUCCCCGUGCUUCGCCCCUACCUUUGUAGUCAAUAAAAGACUAACUAGAAAAGAAUGAGGAGAUGGGAGAAUCAAUCUACUGGAAGCCUCCCCACAGUUUUCUCAUCACUUCUUGUGUCGUGUGUCAUCUCUGUCCAUAACGGGGGAGAAGAACAAACUCAGUAUGUGGGAUGAAGGGUUUUUUUAGUACGGACUGAGAAAAUAGAGUCAGAGACACAGAAAAAAAAGAGUGAUUUUGAUGGAAUGAGUGAGGGAGAUGAGUUGUGUUCCGACUCACAGCGGGGACGAGUGCUACACGAGCGGCCGUGUUUUCCCUCAGCGUCCGGGGAACUGCUAAAGACGGCAGACGUCGUGCUUGUUUAAGCUUCAGUGUGGGAAGCAGGGGCCAUUCUGGGAUUUCAGGCCAGAAACACUUUACACAAAACACUAGGCCAACUCAUUGCAAGUGUGUGAUGCUGCUAACCGUACUGUAUUUUCUGUGCUGCUAACAAACCUCAGUACUGAAGGAGUG